GGUCACGGCGCACGGCAGGCAACAACAACAGCAUUUACUGUGUACCAGGCAGGGCAGUGGAGAUCUGCUCUCCCAUUUGUUCCUAUGUCAUCCGCAAGAACUGUUCCACCAGCUUGGGGCAUCGAUGAGGCAGAGAGCUUAGGCACCGACCUGUCUUGUUAGGAGGACGUUUAUAGCCUUUCUCUCAAGGUUUUUCCCCUGCCACCCUCCACCCCGACCCUGAAUGACCUCUGAACCUGAGGGGAUUUCUUAGUUCCAAACGCUGCCUGUCCACCUCCCUUGCAGACCCAGCAAGAGCAGGAGUCUGGUUGGUUCACUGCUACAGCUGCUUCCUGGUCCCGAGGGGGCCGCUGUUCAGGCUCAGUUCCACAUGGACUCGUGGAUGCUCUGUCCUGUGCCUGUGCCAAGUCCAGUUUCUGGAUGUCUACUGGCUCUUGCUGUAUCCAUCUUGAAGGACACCCGCUUGAAGAGCCAAUUGCUUCCUAUCUGCCCUUCUGCUGCAGGCCAUCCUUAGUGAUUACAAAAUGUCGCCUGUUCCUAGUCAUGCUCCACUGUAACUGGCUGCACAGGGCUUACUUACUUCUUUAAAGUCGAGGUGGGGAAGCCACAAGUUGAUGUUCUACACGGCAGUCCUACCAUGGAGCACAGAGUUCCCUGAAUCACCCACAAGGUGUGGCAGGAGGUGCUGGUGCUACAGCUGUGAACAACAACAAAAAAAAACCCCUGUCCUUUGCAGAACUAACAAUUCUAUAGGUGGAAAUAGACAAAACUCCCAAGCCGAUGAAUAAAUGAGGGGACUGUUAAAAAAGAAAAAAUUCAACCGAGUAAAUGUGAAGAUCUGAUUGGCUUUAUUCAAGGAUUAAUUAAUCGAGAGGUGUCCCAUCUAGCAAGCGGGGGUGAGCAAGGA